rnacentral:rRNA from 1 species
AGAGUUUGAUCAUGGCUCAGGAUGAACGCUAGCUACAGGCUUAACACAUGCAAGUCGAGGGGAAACGAUAGGGAAAGCUUGCUUUUUCUAGGCGUCGACCGGCGCACGGGUGAGUAACGCGUAUCCAACCUGCCCACCACUUGGGGAUAACCUUGCGAAAGUAAGACUAAUACCCAAUGAUAUCUCUAGAAGGCAUCUGAAAGGGAUUAAAGAUUUAUCGGUGAUGGAUGGGGAUGCGUCUGAUUAGCUUGUUGGCGGGGUAACGGCCCACCAAGGCAACGAUCAGUAGGGGUUCUGAGAGGAAGGUCCCCCACAUUGGAACUGAGACACGGUCCAAACUCCUACGGGAGGCAGCAGUGAGGAAUAUUGGUCAAUGGGCGAGAGCCUGAACCAGCCAAGUAGCGUGCAGGAUGACGGCCCUAUGGGUUGUAAACUGCUUUUAUAAGGGAAUAAAGUGAGCCUCGUGAGGCUUUUUGCAUGUACCUUAUGAAUAAGGACCGGCUAAUUCCGUGCCAGCAGCCGCGGUAAUACGGAAGGUCCGGGCGUUAUCCGGAUUUAUUGGGUUUAAAGGGAGCGUAGGCCGGAGAUUAAGCGUGUUGUGAAAUGUAGAUGCUCAACGUCUGCACUGCAGCGCGAACUGGUUUCCUUGAGUACGCACAAAGUGGGCGGAAUUCGUGGUGUAGCGGUGAAAUGCUUAGAUAUCACGAAGAACUCCGAUUGCGAAGGCAGCUCACUGGAGCGCAACUGACGCUGAAGCUCGAAAGUGCGGGUAUCGAACAGGAUUAGAUACCCUGGUAGUCCGCACGGUAAACGAUGGAUGCCCGCUGUUGGUCUGAAUAGGUCAGCGGCCAAGCGAAAGCAUU